rnacentral:rRNA from 1 species
CUACGGGGGGCUCCAGUGGGGAACUUUGCGCAAUGGGGGAAACCCUGACGCAGCAAUACCGCGUGAGUGAAGAAGGCCUUUGGGUCGUAAAGCUCUUUUCUUGGGGAAGAUAGUGACGGUACCCAAGGAAUAAGCACCGGCUAACUCCGUGCCAGCAGCCGCGGUAAUACGGAGGGUGCAAGCGUUGUUCGGAUUUACUGGGCGUAAAGGGCACGUAGGCGGCACAGCAAGUUAAGGGUGAAAUCCCGGGGCUCAACUCCGGAACUGCUCUUAAAACUGCUGAGCUAGAGAUAGUCAGAGGCGGGUGGAAUUCCAGGUGUAGAGGUGAAAUUCGUAGAUAUCUGGAGGAACACCGGUAGCGAAGGCGGCCCGCUGGGGCUAUUCUGACGCUAAGGUGCGAAAGCGUGGGGAGCAAACGGGAUUAGAUACCCGCGUAGUC